UUUUUUUUUUUUUUUUUUUUUUUUUGUCUUUUAGGGCCACACACGCAGCAUAUGGAGGUUCCCAGGCUAGGGGUUGAAUCUGAGCUGUAGCCGCCGGCCUACACCACAGCCACAGCAACGCCAGAUCCGAGCUGCGUCUGCAACCUACACCAUAGCUCACAGCAACACUGGAUCCUUAACCCACUGAGCAAGGCCAGGGAUCGAACUCGCAACCUCAUGGUUCCUAGUAGGAUUCGUUAGCCACUGAGCCACGACAGGAACUCCCUUACAUUUUAAAUUUAAUGGCAUAUUUUAAUUCCUAAGAAUUUUCUUAAUAUUUGAUUGUGUCUUUUCCAUAGUAGCACUUGGAAUUCGCAAGGUUCACUUAUUUCCUGAAUAAUCUGUUUCCUACAAGUUCCAUUGCCUCUUUUUGUGUUUGUCAUUUGUGGUUUUCACAUGUCUUGUGAGAAACUGUCCCUUCAUAUGUAAGAAAGAGAAACAGAGUGUGUGGCAUGUAGCUGUUACUCUUUGGCAAGUUUUCUCUGCUUUUGUAUGAUAAGGUGAUCUGCGUGUGAGUUCCUGUCCUGAGUGGAAAUUCUGAGAGGGUGCUCCAGGUGAGGCAGUGCAGAACCAGCUUUAUAAAAUAUCAGACUUGAUGAAUGAGCAAAGAACUCUUUUCAGGAUGUGUACCUGCAAGUGUCAGAGACACAGGUUUUAGGCUGGGAUUCCCAAAUCGCCGCUAAAUAUCCUAGUGUUCUCCAAAAAAAAAAAAAGAUCCUUUUACUUCUUUAGAAAGGGAUUCAUGUUUUUGAAGGAAAGUCUAGAGAGGAAGUAAUAAUUAUUAAACUUAUAUGUUACAUAUAAUGUAUUAUCACUGCACACUUUCUAUGCACGUUACUGUUUUCUAAAUUCUUUACACAUAUCUCAUUUAAUCCUCAAAAUAGUGGCCCAACUGGUGUGCCAGUUUUAUUUUAUUCUAUUUUUUGUUUUUGUUCUUUGUUUUAGAUUUCGUUUUGGUUUGCCGGUUCUAGAGAUGAAUAAGCUAGGAGUUCUCUAGUGGCUCAGCAGGUUAAGGAUCCUGUGUCGUUGUCCCUGUGGCGUGGGUUGCUGCUGUGGAAAGGGUCUGAUCCCUGGAGCGGGAAUUUCUGCAUGCUGUGGGCACAGCCACAAAAAACAGAGAUGAACAAAUUGGACGUACGGAGUUAAAGUAACUUGCCCAAGGCCACCUAGCUAGAAAGGGGUGAAAUCAGAAUUUGAGUCCAGGCAGCCUGACCCCAAAGAAGAGCUUUUUUGUUUUCACUUUUUUCUAUUUUGAAAUCUAUUAAACAUUCCAAAAAGUGUAUACAAUGUAUAUGUGCAAUUUAAUAUACAAAUAAUAAAAUGUGUGUCACCAGCUUAAGAACGAGGACAACGCCAAGACCUUGGAAGUCCCUGUGCGCCUACACCGUUAACAUCUUCCAUCGUCAUUAAAAUCAACCACUACCCUGAAUUUGUUCUUAUUUGUUAUUCUUUGCAGUUCUAUCAGAUGUGCACAUAUGCCUAAAUAAUAUAUUGUUUGAUUUUGUCUGUCUUUGAAAUUUAUAUAAACGUCUUCAUGUGAUCAUCUGUGGACUUGCUUUUUGCAGUCAUUAUGGUAUUGAAGUCAUCUGUGUCAAUGCAGUCCAUUUAUUUACACCACUCUGCGGUAUUCUAUCACAUAAGACAUCUUUGCCUUUAAAUUAUUAUUAUUGUUAUUGUUAUUUUGCUUUUUGAGGCUGCACCCGCAGCAUGUGGAGGUUCUCAGGCUCUGGGUCAAAUCAGAGCUGCAUCUUCGACCUACACCACAGCUCACAGCAACGCCGGAUCCUUAACCUACUGAUCGAGGCCAAGGAUCAAACAUGCAUCCUCACGGACACUAGUCAGGUUCAUCAACCACUGAGCCAUGAAGGGAACUCUUGCCUUUAAAUUAACUUUGCUGCUGAUUUAUUUUUGGGUUGCUCCAAGAGUUUUGUUACCACAACAAUACUGCCACAAGCAUGCUUGAAUAUAUCUUCUCAUGCACUUGGGCAAGAGAUCCUUUUGGGAACUGGCACAUCUAGGAUGGUAUUACCUGGGUCAUACCAAGAAGUUGAAAGAUCGCAGAGUGAAUAAAACAGACAAUGAAAAGAUGCUAACACUAAGAUGAAAGCAAUGUUGGAAAUAUCUGACAAAGAUUUUUAAGUGGACUUCAAAAAAUGCUUCAAUGAGAAAUUAUAAACAUGCUUGAAGCAAAAGAAAAAAUAUUCUCAGAAUAUAUAUAUAUAAAGUUGAAGCGAAGAAAUAACAGAUACAAAGAAAAGCAAUGGAAAUUUUAGAAAUUGAAAAUACAGUUAUUGAAAUGAAAAACUCAGUGAAUGAGCUUAACAACAGAAGACAGAGAGUCAAUGAACAGAAGAUAGAACAACAGCAAUCACCUAAUCUCAACAAAGGAGAGGAAACACUGUAAAAAGUUACCAGAGCUUCAGGGAUGUGUCUGACAAUAACCACAGAUCUGACAUUUGUGUCAGUGGAAUCCCAGAAGGAAAGAAGACUUUCCAAAUUUGGCAAAAGAUGCAGACCAGAGACUCAAGAAGCCAAACAAAUUCAAAAAAAGAUAAACAAAAAAAAAUUCACACCAAAAGACAUAGUCAAAUUUCUGAAAACUGAAGAGAAGGAAAAAAUUUUAAAAGCAGUGAAACAGAAAUGACACAUUACCUAUAGGACAAUAACAAUCUGGAGGGGUUUGCGCUUUUUUUUUGUUUUUGUUUUUGCAUUUUAGGGCUGCACCUGCAGCAUAUGGAAGUUCCCAGGCUAGGGGUCCAAUCAGAGCUAUAGGGGCUGGCCUACACCACAGCCACAGCAAUGCUAGACCUGAGCUGUGUCUGUGACCUACACCACAGCUCACCAAAAUACCGGAUUCUCAACCCAGUGACUGAGGCCAGGGAUCAAACAUGCGUCCUCAUGGAUACUAGUCAGGUUCAUUAACUGCUGAACCACGACCGGAAUUCCCAAUAACAAUCUGAAUAGAGUAGAUUUCUUAUCAGAAACCAUGGAAGUCAGGAGAAAAUGGCACAAUAUUUUUCAAGGGGUGAAAGAAAGGAACCAUUAACCCAGAAUUCUAUAUCCAGUGAAAAUAUCCUUCUGGAAGAAAGUUUGUUGCCAGUAGGCCUACCAUUAAAAAGAGAGAGAGAGAGAGAGAAAGAAAGAAAAAUGGCUAAAAGGAAUUCUCAGAACAGAAAGGAAUC
rnacentral:lncRNA from 1 species